GCGUGGUUAAGUUUUAUUUGCAUGGCCCCGUUCUCAGCUUACAGACACUUAUGUCCCUGUGCUUGGCAGAAGACUCUUUUCUUCUCUUACAAUAUGUAGCCCGGCCUGAAACCAGUGCAGACGUACUUGGAUUACCACCAUCCUAAAACUUGACUCAAAGCUUCUAAAGUGGUCACUGCCUCCAAGUUCCUGUGAGGAGCUUCAGUAGAAAGUGGAAUCGCCACUUUCAAUUUCAAAGUUCAAAUGCCUGUUCCUCCCACAGAAGCUGAGUCCAGUGAUGGCUUCAACAUCUAUAACCCGUGCUCUGUGCAUCCUUAACAGCUCUUCGAUCCAGGAAGAUUCGCUCUUCUCAUGCUAUGAGGAUGCAAAAUAAAGAAGAGAAGUCACCAGAGAACACCCAGGUCACCUCCCCAGCCAGUGUCCAUCUCUCCUGGCUAAUCCGUUAGGGUAUUUCUGAUGUGGUAGCUGCCGUAAGAUUUCCUAGGCAUAAUCCCUGAAUUUGUGUAGCUCACUCUCUAAGGUAAACACUUGUGCUUACUGAGAUCAGACGACUCUGGGAAAAAAGAAAGGACAGCCCAACAGAUAGUUACAGAUUGCACAGAGAUUGCAAGAAAUGUCAGUAAUGUGGAGUUAAAAAAAAACAAAAAACUACUAGAAAACAGA